rnacentral:rRNA from 1 species
GACGAACGCUGGCGGCGUGCUUAACACAUGCAAGUCGAACGGUGACCUCGAGAGCUUGCUCUUGAGUGAUCAGUGGCGAACGGGCGAGUAACACGUGAGUAACCUGCCCCAGACUCUGGAAUAACCCCGGGAAACCGGAGCUAAUACCGGAUACGACGUAGAGCUGCAUGGCUACUACUUGGAAAGUUCUUUGGUCUGUGAUGGACUCGCGGCCUAUCAGCUUGGUGGUGAGGUAACGGCUCACCAAGGCCACGACGGGUAGCCGGCCUGAGAGGGCGACCGGCCACACUGGGACUGAGACACGGCCCAGACUCCUACGGGAGGCAGCAGUGGGGAAUAUUGCACAAUGGGCGAAAGCCUGAUGCAGCGACGCCGCGUGAGGGAUGACGGCCUUCGGGUUGUAAACCUCUUUCAGCAGGGAAGAAGCGAAAGUGACGGUACCUGCAGAAGAAGCACCGGCUAACUUCGUGCCAGCAGCCGCCGUAAGAC